rnacentral:rRNA from 1 species
CUGCUCCUAGUACGAGAGGACCGGAGUGGACGAACCUCUGGUGUACCGGUUGUAACGCCAGUUGCAUAGCCGGGUAGCUAAGUUCGGAAGAGAUAAGCGCUGAAAGCAUCUAAGCGCGAAACUCGCCUGAAGAUGAGACUUCCCUUGCGGUUUAACCGCACUAAAGGGUCGUUCGAGACCAGGACGUUGAUAGGUGGGGUGUGGAAGCGCGGUAACGCGUGAAGCUAACCCAUACUAAUUGCCCGUGAGGCUUGACUCUAU